rnacentral:rRNA from 1 species
CGUGAGUCAUCCACCCUCGGUACCGGGAUAGCCCGGGGAAACUCGGAUUAAUACCGGAUGGCCCAACAGCUCUUCGGGGCGGUUGGAAAAGGUAGCUUCGGCCUCCGACCGAGGACGAGCUCGCGGCGGAUUAGCUUGUUGGCGGGGUAACGGCCCACCAAGGCGACGAUCCGUAGCUGGUCUGAGAGGACGAUCAGCCACACUGGGACUGAGACACGGCCCAGACUCCUACGGGAGGCAGCAGUGGGGAAUCUUGCGCAAUGGGCGACAGCCUGACGCAGCGACGCCGCGUGCGGGAAGAAGGCCUUCGGGUUGUAAACCGCUUUCAGGAGGGACGAAGCCACUCGGGUUAAUAGCCCAGAGGGUGACGGUACCUCCAGAAGAAGCCCCGGCUAACUACGUGCCAGCAGCCGCGGUAAUACGUAGGGGGCUAGCGUUGUCCGGAUUUAUUGGGCGUAAAGCGCGUGUAGGCGGCCAUGCAGGUCCGUUGUGAAAACUCGAGGCUUAACCUCGAGACGUCGAUGGAAACCGCAUGGCUAGAGUCCGGAAGAGGAGAGUGGAAUUCCUGGUGUAGCGGUGAAAUGCGCAGAUAUCAGGAAGAACACCCGUGGC